AACGAACGCUGGCGGCAUGCCUAACACAUGCAAGUCGAACGAGACCUUCGGGUCUAGUGGCGCACGGGUGCGUAACGCGUGGGAACCUGCCCUUAGGUUCGGAAUAACUCCCCGAAAGGGGUGCUAAUACCGGAUAAUGUCUUCGGACCAAAGAUUUAUCGCCUUUGGAUGGGCCCGCGUUGGAUUAGCUAGUUGGUAGGGUAAAAGCCUACCAAGGCGACGAUCCAUAGCUGGUCUGAGAGGAUGAUCAGCCACACUGGACUGAGACACGGCCCAGACUCCUACGGGAGGCAGCAGUGGGGAAUAUUGGACAAGGGGCGAAAGCCUGAUCCAGCCAUGCCGCGUGAGUGAUGAAGGCCUUAGGGUUGUAAAGCUCUUUUACCCGGGAUGAUAAUGACGGUACCGGGAGAAUAAGCUCCGGCUAACUCCGUG
rnacentral:rRNA from 1 species